CUAAAAGAUGACCUCCUGCAACUGUGGGGCAGAUACAGAAACAUUGUGACCUUAAGAAUUUAUUUCUAUCAAAUAUGAACUUCAUUUCCAUCGUUUCCCACUGUCCAGAGAUGUCAGAGAUCAGUUUAAUUGCAUAGACUGUCAAGACUCCCUGGGAAUUAUGUGCAGUUUUUUUCCUAUCUCUCUCAGACAGGAUCCAUCUUCACUUUGAAUAAUUACUGCCAGAGCUGAAUCAGAAACUGCCAAAGCUGCAGGAAAGAAUCCAACAUUUUUCUACACAGAUUCAAAGCAAAUAUGAAUUCCCUUCCCUUUCCUUUUUCCUUUCCCUUCCCUUCUACCACAACCCCUUUCACUUCAUUCCCUUUGAAUAACUUACCAUGAAUGAAUUUAGUGAGGGAAUGGUACACAAGAAAUCUUUGGGCAAAUCCUCAGCUGUUUCAAUUGGCUGCAGUAAAGCUACACUCUGUUACACCCUGAAGAUGCACCACAGUGGAUGUGAAUAGCUCUCUUGGAGAUUAUUCACCUCGUAUGAAUGCAACUGUUCCCAUCAGCUAUCUCAGCUUAAAGAUUGUGGUUAUUGAGUCAGGGGACAGAACAAUGGUAUGGGAUUGAGCCCAAGCAAUUAACUCUUCCCUCAACUUUAUUACUGAAUCCUGAACUGGCAUCCCACAGAGAACCUGUAACAAUCUUAUUCAGAUCAAAGCCCCCACUUUUUAAAUAAUGAGAAGUUUGGAAAACAAAAAUCAAAGGGCAGCCUAUGAUUCACACACAGAAAUUUUAUAAAAACCACAAAAUCAAAAGGCCCUUAAUUGAGGCCUUUCAACCCAACCAAGUAUUCAUUCCAAGAUAAUUACUGCCAUAAAACCCUCUGCCACAGAGACACUGGACUAGAAAACCUUUGAAUUGCACACGGAACUUAAGGAAAGAGCUGGCUGGGAUGUAAUCCUGCUGAGACCUGAAAAGGAGAAGUUCUGGGGGGGAACCAAGCCUUCAGUGCAAGUCAUUCCUCUGUAAAAACAUGUCAUCAUUGAGAAGGCUCUACAACAAGAAAAGACUGGGGAAGAUCUGCCAGGAGCAAACCAGGAUGCUCCUGUGCAAGUACAGAUGUGUGACUCCCAGCACAGCAGACUGGCCUCACCUUGAAAAAAGUCCUCAGGAGGUCAAAUGCACAUCAUUCUCCUGUGAUAUGUGACCAAAACUUACCAUUCAGCUGUACUUUAAGCCAUGCUUUACACUGGGAAACAACCUUCCCUGGUAAAUUGGAUUUCAAAACCCAGAAGAAUUUCUUUGAAAUUUUUUU
rnacentral:lncRNA from 1 species